UACGUAGGGUGCGAGCGUUAAUCGGAAUUACUGGGCGUAAAGCGUGCGCAGGCGGUUGUGCAAGACAGAUGUGAAAUCCCCGGGCUUAACCUGGGAAUUGCAUUUGUGACUGCACGGCUAGAGUGUGUCAGAGGGAGGUAGAAUUCCACGUGUAGCAGUGAAAUGCGUAGAUAUGUGGAGGAAUACCGAUGCGAAGGCAGCCUCCUGGGAUAACACUGACGCUCAUGCACGAAAGCGUGGGGAGCAAACAGG
rnacentral:rRNA from 1 species